GAAAUUUAACUCUCUAAAAAUAAAACUACGUCUCUGUCAGGGCAUACCUACGGUGCUCAAAACCCUGACUUACUGGAAGGCCAUAAAUUACACGAAGGAAUUAUUCAUCAUAUUACCAAACACACCUUCCAUUUUCCUGGGAGGUCUCUUAGGCUAAGCAAGCUCUUUUAAGUGAUUAUUUUAAAGGUGAAAGACACUGGAACAAUAGUGUUCAAUAUAUUUUGUAAAUGAAUGAGCCACUUGCUGGGAUUAUUGUAAAGAUGACUAAAUAAUCAGUCAGAAAAUCACCUUUUACAUGUCAGGGUUAAUUGUAUGGCUGAUGAGUUUCUUAAUUUCCUAGAUUUUUGGCAUUAAACAUUUAUCCGAUUUUCCAGGGAAAUAUCACAAACUCUUUUGAGAAAAAAAGCCAAAAGAGAAAAACCUAUAGUCCAAUAUUUCCAGUUUUGUAUACACAACAUGAACUUCCCUCCGGAGGCCAGAAUAAGUCUUCAUGAGCAAAAAAUUACCUUUCUAGAGGCAUUGGCCCCGGCCAUCCAGCUAAAACCCCAGUCAUGUCUUAUUCCUUCCUUUGGUUCCCAGGGGAGGGAAAAUCCAGAAUUCUAGGUUGUCCAGAGUGUGCACUGGAAUCAAAGGGCUGAUUCGAAUAUGACCAAGAGAGAGAUGCUGACGUGGGCCGGGGGUCCUCCUGGGCUGUGAUGUACCCACAAGAGGAGGGUGUGCUCCUGAAAUACCUGACCAUGGGGAGUUGAGGAGUGUCUGGGGAUAAGAGGUCACAGCUUCUGAAAGGAGCACUGUCCCGCGAGCCCAGAAGGUCGUGCAUACGGACGGCACCACUGUCCCUCGGCUUUUGCUUGGAGAAGUUCAUGGUGAAUAUCUGUCCUCUGCUGGUCCCUCGCGUAUGCCUGUCAGUCACUUAGGGCCUCCUUCUCGCCUCUGAGCUUGCGCCCUGCUCUUCGUCCUGUGUCCCACUCUCUGCACUUCUCUCAUCAGCUCCCCGGCCUCCUCUCCGUCACUCCCUGUAGGGUCCCUUAGACUUGACAUUGGAUAUCUUCCUGACUCAGGUCCGUCUCCCCUCAGGGGACCUCUCACACACCACACCACACCCCCUGCUGGUGCCCCCCAAAAACCUGGGUGACCCAUCCACUGCACCCAUUCUUUCCCCAGACCCCUGCCAGAGAGGGUCCAUCCCAUGGCACUUGUUAUUUGCUGAAAAAUCCCCAAAUCACUCCUCCUGCAUUAUUCAGACGAUGCCCUUCAUAUUCAACUCUGCAAUUUCAGUCCCAGUCUUGUCCCAUAGAAUUAUUGCCAAUUGAUCUCCGUAUAAAUGUCUGGGUUUUCUGCAUUAUUAAUGACGUGCUAGGCUUCUGACAAGCCUUCCUUUGGUGCAACUUGCUCAGAGCAGUGACUAUGGAUGUGCCGGAGGCAGAGGCUCCCUCUAUCUGAAUUAUUAGAGACUUUGGUUUAAGAGGGAAAAGGUAGGAUAAUACACCUUAAUCUUUCCCUCUAGGGAAGACGUACCAACUCCAUUUCGUUGGCAGUGGCUGUUUGGACUUCUACUUUGAGAACCAUGAGACUAUAUCUGUACUUGAUGGAAAGUGUGCUGGGAUUGAUUAACAAUGUCUGCAGUGGGUGAAGGAUUAGGAAGAAUACACAUGCAUGCUGCUUAUCUACCAUGGGCUCUGUGUUUAUGCUAUCUCAGAAGAGUUGACCUUGAAGAUGUGAGUGUCAGGAGAUUUCAGACACAAGAAGGGAGGUUCGGGUUCAGUGGAGGUGACAAAGACAUUGUUCUGCAUGGGCAGCGAGUGGUUUAGAAGUCACUUUUCUUCAAUUCAUUAUCUCGGCUCCAUUCAGCCACGCAAAAGGAAUAUGAGUCUGGCAGUUUGUGCAUCAGGGUUCCACUUUUAGACUCAGGGCCGAGGCUGGGGGUUUGUGCGAGUGAUUUUCAGUUUAUCACAUCCCUCAAGGAACAGAGAGGCACACAGGGCUGCCUGGAAAGCCAGGAGAGUCAGAAAAGCAACAGCAGUCUCCGCUCUGGAAUUUCUAGUUCUUGCUCUGGUCCUGCUCUCAGCUCUCGGCAAGGCACCUCUUUCUUAACCCUUCUUUGCCCAUCAGGGAGAACAGACUAGUUUUGACCCACAAAGCUGGUGCAGAGAAGCAGGAUGAGCCUUUCCAGGGCCAGGAGGUUGGAGGAAAAUUUCUCAUUGAAGAUGCUGAACACUGGCCACUGGCCUGGGGCUCCUUGUAGGCAGACUGAAUGCUUGCUGGUAUAGGAGCCUGGGAUCCAGCACUUGUCACCUACCCCAAGGUCACAGUUGCCAGGGCAGUGCAGAGACCAAAUCCAAAUCUGCAUGUUUACAAGGUCCCUGCAGUGGAAACCACACCCUACUGCCUUCCAGCAGCCAAGGCGGGAUGGACACGUUGCCAAAUCCCCCAGCUGCCUGCAACCCUACUUUCUGGCGUGAGCCUCUUAAAUCAGCUCCACUGGGAUGGAAGGAGAGGUUGGCUUUCUCCGCAUUUCUGAGCAGGUUGAGCGGCUUUCUGCCCCCAAGGUCAUCUAGGACAUUUUUAUCCCCAAGGUCAGCAGCCCCUUCCACCAGAGAUGAGGAUUCUGCCUGGCUUCUGCCUGCCCUCUGGGUAGCUGGCGGUGCCAAGGGACAUGCCAGCUGCAGCUGGAAGGACUGGCUCUCCAUCUGAGAAAAGCACGAGGAUUCGCGUUCCUUUUCUGGAGUGGUCCCUCCCCCGCAGAACGAGAGAAGGCUAAUUAACGCGUGAUGGCAACCGGGCUGCGGUAUCUGCCAGUUCUCUUGCGAGGGAUGCUUUUGAGCAUCCUCUCCGUCUCCCUCCUCAACGGUACAUUCAGAUUAGCCAUGGAGAGAGAACAGUGUCCCAUCCCAGCAGAUCGGUCCCCUCGUGAGCCCUGGGGCAGGGAGAGGCCACCUCAAUUUUUUUUUUUUUUUGGUCAUGUCGCAUCCUGUUGGCCCUUUAUAAAUAUCGGUCUUUACUCAGAUGCAUUCCCUGGGGGCCUAGCCGUUAAGGACUUGACAUGGAUCAUCACGGCUGUGACUCAGGUUCAGUCCCUGGCCUGGGAACCUCCACCCUCUAUGGGCACAGCCAAAAACAAACAAACAAACAAAAAAAGAUAAAAUCCAUCAAUAUUUCCAAGUGUAGAUGCACAUGUUCAUGAAAAGGGAAAGAAAAUGCUCGCUAGCAUUUGCUAGAAAAUGAAGGAAGCAAAACCAUACGAUUCUACUGAUGGGAAAGUUGCUAAAAUAUAUAUUAAUGUGUCCCAGACAUGCAAAAAAAAAAAAAAAAAA
rnacentral:lncRNA from 1 species